ACGAACGCUGGCGGCGUGCCUAAUACAUGCAAGUUGAACGCUUGAUUUUCACCGAAGCUUGCUUCACCGAAAAUCAAGAGUAGCGAACGGGUGAGUAACGCGUGGGUAACCUACCUAUCAGCGGGGGAUAACUAUUGGAAACGAUAGCUAAUACCGCAUAACAAUGUUGAAUGCAUAUUCGACAUUUGAAAGUACCAACUGGUACACUGAGAGAUGGACCCGCGUUGUAUUAGCUAGUUGGUAGUGUAAUGGACUACCAAGGCGAUGAUACAUAGCCGACCUGAGAGGGUGAUCGGCCACAUUGGGACUGAGACACGGCCCAAACUCCUACGGGAGGCAGCAGUAGGGAAUCUUCGGCAAUGGACGAAAGUCUGACCGAGCAACGCCGCGUGAGUGAAGAAGGUUUUCGGAUCGUAAAACUCUGUUGUUAGAGAAGAACGUUGCAUAGAGUGGAAAAUUAUGCAAGUGACGGUAUCUAACCAGAAAGGGACGGCUAACUACGUGCCAGCAGCCGCGGUAAUACGUAGGUCCCGAGCGUUGUCCGGAUUUAUUGGGCGUAAAGCGAGCGCAGGUGGUUUAAUAAGUCUGAUGUAAAAGGCAGUGGCUCAACCAUUGUGUGCAUUGGAAACUGUUAGACUUGAGUGCAGUAGAGGAGAGUGGAAUUCCAUGUGUAGCGGUGAAAUGCGUAGAUAUAUGGAGGAACACCGGUGGCGAAAGCGGCUCUCUGGACUGUCACUGACACUGAGGCUCGAAAGCGUGGGUAGCAAACAGGAUUAGAUACCCUGGUAGUCCACGCCGUAAACGAUGAGUGCUAGUUGUUUGGGGCUAUCCAGCCCUAAGUGACGCAGCAAACGCAUUAAGCACUCCGCCUGGGGAGUACGACCGCAAGGUUGAAACUCAAAGGAAUUGACGGGGGCCCGCACAAGCGGUGGAGCAUGUGGUUUAAUUCGAAGCAACGCGAAGAACCUUACCAGGUCUUGACAUACUCGUGCUAUUCCUAGAAGAUAGGAAGUUCCUUCGGGACACGGGAUACAGGUGGUGCAUGGUUGUCGUCAGCUCGUGUCGU
rnacentral:rRNA from 1 species